rnacentral:rRNA from 1 species
UACGUAGGGGGCUAGCGUUGUCCGGAAUCAUUGGGCGUAAAGAGCGUGUAGGCGGCCCGGUAAGUCCGCCGUGAAAGUCGGGGGCUCAACCCUCGAAUGCCGGUGGAUACUGUCGGGCUAGAGUGCGGAAGAGGCGAGUGGAAUUCCUGGUGUAGCGGUGAAAUGACGCAGAUAUCAGGAGGAACACCGAUUGCGAAGGCAGCUCGCUGGGACGUCACUGACGCUGAGACGCGAAAGCGUGGGGAGCAAACAGG